CCCCUAGACGUUCUGGGCCGCACGCGCGCUACACUGACGAAGGCAACGAGCUUUCCUUUACCGAAAGGUACGGGUAAUCUUUUGAAACUUCGCCGUGCUGGGGAUAGAUCCUUGCAAUUUUUGAUCUUAAACGAGGAAUGCCUAGUAAGCGCAAGUCAUCAACUUGCGUUGAUUACGUCCCUGCCCUUUGUACACACCGCCCGUCGCUACUACCGAUUGAAUGGUUUAGUGAGAUCCUUGGAUCGGCCCUGUCGCGGCUGGCAACGGCCGCGUCGGCGCGUCGAGAAGACGAUCAAACUUGAUCAUUUAGAGGAAGUAAAAGUCGUAACA
rnacentral:rRNA from 1 species